GGGUGUUCGCCUUGUGCGGGCAGGUUCCAGCGCUGGUCGGGCCGUCAGCG
rnacentral:ncRNA from 2 species